rnacentral:rRNA from 1 species
GGCAAUUGGAAUGAGAAAUAUUUAAAUCCCUUAUCGAGGAUCAACUGAAGGGCAAGUCUGGUGCCAGCAGCCGCGGUAAUUCCAGCUUCAGUAGCGUAUAUUAAAGUUGUUGCAGUUAAAAAGCUCGUAGUCGCAUUUCUGGAGAGAGGAACUGGUCCGACCUUACGGUGGGUUCUUGGUUCUCUCUCUCCAUCCUUGAGUGGCCCGUUCUGGUAUUAGGUUAUCGGAGCGUCCGCCGCUCAUCGUUUACUGUGAGAAAAUUAGAGUGUUCAAAGCAGGCUUAUGCCGUUGAAUAUAUUAGCAUGGAAUAAUGAGAUAGGACCUCGGUACUAUUUUGUUGGUUUGCGCACCAAGGUAAUGAUGAACAGGGACAGUUGGGGGUAUUUGUAUUUCGUUGUCAGAGGUGAAGUUCUUAGAUUUACGAAAGACAAACUACUGCGAAAGCAUUUACCAAGGAUGUUUUCAUUGAUCAAGAACGAAAGUAUGGGGAUCGAAGAUGAUUAGAUACCAUCGUAGUCUAUACCAUAAACUAUGCCGACU